AAAAAAUUAAACGUCAAAUAAAAGAAUUUCGUGUUAAAUUUUAUUGUUGUGAUAAAUGAAUUUGAUUUAAAAUGAGAGAAGAAAGAAAUGGAUGCAAAUGUAAACAAAGCAAUAUAACCUCAAUAACGACGCGCGGUUUUGAAUUCUUGUCGAGCGACAUAACUGUAUCGGGGCCGGUACAGUGGCGCGCGUUUCGUGGGUGCGCUAAGACAUUGAGUCGCGAGACCGUUUGAAAUUAUCGUCGAAGAAAUAAAAUAACCUUGAAACGAU